rnacentral:rRNA from 1 species
UACGGAGGGUGCAAGCGUUAUCCGGAUUCACUGGGUUUAAAGGGUGCGUAGGCGGGUAAGUAAGUCCGUGGUGAAAUCUCUGAGCUUAACUCAGAAACUGCCGUGGAUACUAUUUGCCUUGAAUAUUGUGGAGGUGAGCGGAAUAUGUCAUGUAGCGGUGAAAUGCUUAGAUAUGACAUAGAACACCAAUUGCGAAGGCAGCUCACUACACAAUCAUUGACGCUGAGGCACAAAAGCGUGGGGAUCAAACAGG